rnacentral:misc_RNA from 1 species
AAGUCGUAACAAGGUUUCCGUAGGUGAACCUGCGGAAGGAUCAUUAACACGUAUCCAACGUUAAACCCCCUGUGAACCUUCAUUGUAUGAGUUACAUCCACGUCAUAAACCGGCAAUCUCUGGUAAAUCAUCGCCGAACAGUUUUGAUUCAGAGACCUCUGGGAAGGGUGUACGGUAGUGCGAGGCAAUUGACCUGGCAUUCCUCUGCUUGUUAGUGUCUGAAAGUGUCACUAGCUAUGUACGGAUGGCGCAGUAACGAGUCACUGGGCUACGGCCCCCCUGAUCACAACCUUUGCAUGAAAACGGGCCUGCGCUGAGGUGCGGCCACCCCUAAUGCUUGAACAACUGUUAACAAUGGAUAUCUUGGUUCUC